rnacentral:rRNA from 1 species
CGUAGGGCGCAAGCGCUGUCCGGAAUAUUGGGCGUAAAGAGCUCGUAGGUGGCUUGUCGCGUCUGCCGUGAAAGCCCAUGGCUUAACUGUGGGUCUGCGGUGGAUACGGGCUGGCUAGAGGUAGGUAGGGGCAAGCGGAAUUCCUGGUGUAGCGGUGAAAUGCGCAGAUAUCAGGAGGAACACCGGUGGCGAAGGCGGCUUGCUGGGCCUUACCUGACGCUGAGGAGCGAAAGCGUGGGGAGCGAACAGGAUUAGAUACCCUGGUAGUCCACGCUGUAAACGUUGGGCGCUAGGUGUGGGGUCCUUCCACGGAUUCCGUGCCGUAGCUAACGCAUUAAGCGCCCCGCCUGGGGAGUACGGCCGCAAGGCUA